CCAAUAGCGUAUAUUAAAGUUGUUGCAGUUAAAAAGCUCGUAGUUGAAUUUCGGGAUCAAUUAAUUGGUCGUGCCUCUGGUACGUACUGAUUUUAUUGGUUUCUCCCUUCUGACGAACCAUGAUGUCAUUAAUUUGAUGUCGUGGAGAAUCAGGACUGUUACUUUGAAAAAAUUAGAGUGUUUAAAGCAAGCUAACGCUUGAAUACAUUAGCAUGGAAUAAUGAAAUAGGACGUUUGAUCCUAUUUUGUUGGUUUCUAGGAUCGACGUAAUGAUUAAUAGGGAUAGUUGGGGGCGUUAGUAUUCAAUUGUCAGAGGUGAAAUUCUUGGAUUUAUUGAAGACUAACUACUGCGAAAGCAUUUGCCAAGGAUGUUUUCAUUAAUCAAGAACGAAAGUUAGGGGAUCGAAGACGAUCAGAUACCGUCGUAGUCUUAACCAUAAACUAUGCCGACUAGAGAUCGGAUGAUGUUAAUUUUUUAAUGACUCAUUCGGCGCCUUACG
rnacentral:rRNA from 1 species